rnacentral:rRNA from 1 species
UGGGGAAUCUUGCGCAAUGGGCGAAAGCCUGACGCAGCCAUGCCGCGUGUAUGAUGAAGGUCUUAGGAUUGUAAAAUUCUUUCACCGGGGACGAUAAUGACGGUACCCGGAGAAGAAGCCCCGGCUAACUUCGUGCCAUCAGCCGCGGUAAUACGAAGGGGGCUAGCGUUGCUCGGAAUUACUGGGCGUAAAGGGCGCGUAGGCGGAUCGUUAAGUCAGAGGUGAAAUCCCAGGGCUCAACCCUGGAACUGCCUUUGAUACUGGCUAUCUUGAGUAUGAGAGAUGUAUGUGGAACUCCGAGUGUAGAGGUGAAAUUCGUAGAUAUUCGUAAGAACACCAGUGGCGAAUGCGACAUACUGGCUCAUUACUAACACUGAGGCGCGAAAGCGUGGGGAGCAAACAGG